GUUUGUGUGUGGAUGAUGCUCUCAAAGUAGCGACAUCCCUGAAGCACCACAUCCAAAACCUUCAGGACACUUGAAUAAACCACUCCUGGUAUUGAAAGGUGCUGCUUCUCCAAAAGACAAGCACACGCAGAAGCUGGUCACCGUGGAGGUGUUCCCGGUACACAGGAGAGGUGGAUAAGGGGCCUUUCGCGUCGUUGCAGGAUGGAAGGGAACAUGCAAAACUAAGCCCUCUUUCCCCGAGGACUGAAAUCUUUCCCGGGAGCCAAAACUCUAAACCCACGGGAGAGACUCAGUCAGAAAAUGACGCUCAUGGGGCGUGGCUUUUACCAUAUAUGGAGCUCUGACGAUUCCUGUCAAGCAGUGGCGCUCGACUGUUCGAGUAUUAGCCUAUAGAAGCAACCUGAGAACACUCGCUCUACUUUUCUCUUGCAAUGUGAGUCAAGCCACAUGAAUAGCCAUCCUGAGCACACACACAAACACACACUGACAAACUGAUCAUCUUAAAAAAGCAACGCCCUGGUGCUCACUUGGCCUACUUUCCACGGCAUGCAGCAGCAGUAGCAGCAGCAGCAGAGGGACGUGGGAAGAAAAGGAAAAACAUUCAGGAGCUCUCUGGGAAGAAUACUUCAUACCAUCUACACACAAUACCCAAUAUCUGUUUAUAUACUAUUGUCUACUCACUGUGUCUGCAUAUACUGUUUUCUCAACAUAGCUCAUCCUAAUGUGCCAACUACUGUCCAUACAAUUUUUUCUCAUAUUACAGUGCCUUCAAAUGACAGUGCCUGCAUACCCCUCGACUUAUUCCACAUUUUGUUGUGUUACAGACUCAAUUAAAAAUGGAUUAAAUAAAAAAAAAAAUCGACCAUCUACACACAAUACCCAAUAUCUGUUUAUAUACUAUUGUUUACUCACUGUGUAUGCAUAUACUGUUUUCUCAACAUAGCUCAUCCUAAUGUGCCAACUACAGUCCAUACAAUUUUUUCCCAUAUUACAGUGCCUUCAAAUUACAGUGCCUGCAUACCCCUCAACUUAUUUCACAUUUUGUUGUGUUACAGACUGAAUUAAAAAUUGAUACAAAUAAAUAAAAAUCUACCAUCUACACACAA